AAGAGACAGCAGUCGCCGCGGGAAUACGUAGGUCCCGAGCGUUGUCCGGAUUUAUUGGGCGUAGAGCGAGCGCAGGCGGUUAGAUAAGUCUGAAGUUAAAGGCUGUGGCUUAACCAUAGUACGCUUUGGAAACUGUUUAACUUGAGUGCAGAAGGGGAGAGUGGAAUUCCAUGUGUAGCGGUGAAAUGCGUGGAUAUAUGGAGGAACACCGGUGGCGAAAGCGGCUCUCUGGUCUGUCACUGACGCUGAGGCUCGAAAGCGUGGGUAGCGAACAGGAUUAGAUACCCGCGUAGUCCCUGUCUCUUAUACC
rnacentral:rRNA from 1 species